rnacentral:lncRNA from 1 species
AAAAGUAAUACAAGAAAUGCCUGAACCGAAAACAGAAAAAAGAGGUUCGUGGUCUCCUAGGUAGAUUGAACUACAUUUCACGGUUCACAUCUCAUCUAACAGCCACGUGUGAACCCAUUCAAGUCGUGAAAGAAAAAAUCAAACGGUCAAGUGGAAUAAUGAUUGCCAAGGGGCAUUGAGAAAUAAAAGAAUAGUUGCAGGAGCCUCCGAU